rnacentral:rRNA from 1 species
UGGGAACCUUCCCUAUGGUUCGGAAUAGCUCAGGGAAACUUGGGGUAAUACCGGAUAAGCCCUUCGGGGGAAAGAUUUAUCGCCAUUGGAUGGGCCCGCGUCGGACUAGCUAGUUGGUGAGGUAACGGCUCACCAAGGCAACGAUCCGUAGCUGGUCUGAGAGGAUGAUCAGCCACACUGGGACUGAGACACGGCCCAGACCUCCGUACGGGAGCAGCAG